GAUGAACGCUGGCGGCGUGCCUAAUACAUGCAAGUCGAACGAAACUUCUUUAUCACCGAGUGCUUGCACUCACCGAUAAAGAGUUGAGUGGCGAACGGGUGAGUAACACGUGGGCAACCUGCCCAAAAGAGGGGGAUAACACUUGGAAACAGGUGCUAAUACCACAUAACCAUAGUUACCGCAUGGUAACUAUGUAAAAGGUGGCUAUACUACCGCUUUUGGAUGGGCCCGCGGCGCAUUAGCUAGUUGGUAGGGUAAAGGCUUACCAAGGCAAUGAUGCGUAGCCGAAUUGAGAGGUUGAUCGGCCACAUUGGGACUGAGACACGGCCCAAACUCCUACGGGAGGCAGCAGUAGGGAAUCUUCCACAAUGGGCGAAAGCCUGAUGGAGCAACGCCGCGUGGGUGAAGAAGGUCUUCGGAUCGUAAAACCCUGUUGUUAGAGAAGAAAGUGCGUGAGAGUAACUGUUCACGUUUCGACGGUAUCUAACCAGAAAGCCACGGCUAACUACGUG
rnacentral:rRNA from 1 species